AAUAAGUGCAGCCGUGAAUAUCCGUGUCUAACAUUUGACCGUCCGUCUUAUUUGAAAAAUUUGUGAAAAAAAUAAAAAAAAUUAGUCACACAUAAAGUAUUAUUCAUAUUUUAUCAUCUAAUAGCAAUAAAAAUACUAAUCAUAAAAAAUUUUCAAAUAAGACGAACGAUCAAACAUUGAACGUGAAUAGUAUAAAACUACACUUAUU
rnacentral:pre_miRNA from 1 species